CAGAAAGCAAAUGUCACGACGACAAAGAUUGCGAAAACGUGAAGCUACCGUGUCCGGGGCCUCUCGCAUGUUUGUAUGGUGGCUGCGUUUGUACGUACCUGGAUAAGCCACUCGACAUUCCCAAUUCUCAAAUCAAAAGUGCGCAUUCCGGGAAAAAAAUUAUAAACCUCCAUGAUUCUAGUGUUUAACCAUUACAUCUGUGGUGACAGAUAACAUAAAAAUGUGACAAUAAUAUAAUUUGAAUUAAUUAAUCACUACCUUUUUAUUUAUUUUUGAAAAUCUAUAUGAAGGUAUGACAACAACAGAAAGCAAAUGUCACGACGACAAAGAUUGCGAAAACGUGAAGCUACCGUGUCCGGGGCCUCUCGCAUGUUUGUAUGGUGGCUGCGUUUGUACGUACCUGGAUAAGCCACUCGACAUUCCCAAUUCUCAAAUCAAAAGUGCGCAUUCCGGGAAAAAAGUUAUAAACCUCCAUGAUUCUAGUGUUUAACCAUUACAUCUGUGGUGACAGAAUAAAAAUGUGACAACAAUAUAAUUUGCAAACGUUGAAUGAAAAAAGUAAUAUUUA
rnacentral:lncRNA from 1 species